rnacentral:rRNA from 1 species
GUCGAGCGGAUGACGGGGAGCUUGCUCCCCUGAUUCAGCGGCGGACGGGUGAGUAACACGUGGGCAACCUGCCUGUAAGAUCGGGAUAACUCCGGGAAACCGGGGCUAAUACCGGAUGGUUCCUUCCUCCGCAUGGAGGAAGGCGGAAAGACGGUUUCGGCUGUCACUUACAAAUGGGCCCGCGGCGCAUUAGCUAGUUGGUGGGGUAAUGGCCCACCAAGGCAACGAUGCGUAGCCAACAUGAGAGGGUGAUCGGCCACACUGGGACUGAAACACGGCCCAGACUCCUACGGGAGGCAGCAGUAGGGAAUCUUCCGCAAUGGACGAAAGUCUGACGGAGCAACGCCGCGUGAGCGAAGAAGGCCUUCGGGUCCUAAAGCUCUGUUGUAAGGGAAGAACAAGCGCCGGUUAACUGCCGGUGCCCUGACGGUACCUUACCACAAAGCCACGGCUAACUACCUGCCAACACCGCGGUAAUACGUAUGUGGCAAGCGUUGUCCGGAAUCAUUGGGCGUAAAGCGCGCGCAAGCGGUUUCUUAAGUCUGAUGUGAAAGCCCACGGCUCAACCGUGGAGGGUCAUUGGAAACUGGGAGACUUGAGUGCAGAAGAGGAAAGCGGAAUUCCACGUGUAGCGGUGAAAAUGCGU